GACGAACGCUGGCGGCGUGCUUAACACAUGCAAGUCGAACGGAAAGGCACUGAGUUUGUGGGGUGAUCGAGUGGCGAACGGGUGAGUAACACGUGAGUAACCUGCUCUUGACUUUGGGAUAACUUAAGGAAACUGGGGCUAAUACAGGAUAGGAGAUCACGCUGCAUGGUGGGGGUUGGAAAGUUUCGGCGGUUGGGGAUGGAUUCGCGGCUUAUCAGCUAGUUGGUGGGGUAGUGGCUUACCAAGGAUUUGAAGGGUAGCCGGCCUGAGAGGGUGACCGGCCACAUGGGGACUAAGGUACGGCCCAGACGCCUACAGUGGGCAACAGUGGGGAAUAUUGCACAAUGGUCCGGAGCCGGUGGCAGCGACGCCGCGGUCGUGAUGACGGCCUGCUGGUUGUAAACCGCUUUCGCCUGUGACGAAGCUUUAGUGACGGUAAUCGAUAAAGAAGCACCGGCUAACUACGUG
rnacentral:rRNA from 1 species